AAGAGAACGUGAAAUCGUUGAAGUGGAACCGGAGAGAGUUGACGUAGUAUGGUGGAUAAGUAUUGCAAGAAUCGCUUCAAACAAUGAAUGUGAUCGAGUAAUAUGUACGUCACCAAAGACUGCGCUGACAGCAUCGACUACACGCUCUGAACUGUGUUGACAUGUUGCCUAUUCUAGUAUAUAGAAUGGUGUCUUGUGUUACGUGGUGAAGUUUGUUGUUAUGUUGUUGAUGUUGAUAAGUAUGAUUAUACACCAAGUAUAAUUAUGUCAGUGUAAAAGUCAACCACCUCUCCGACCCGUCUUGAAACACGGACCGAGGAGUGUAACUUGUACGCGAGUCAUUGGGUGGAAAAACCUUAAGGCGAAACGAAAGUGAAGGCACGGUUAACCGGCUGACAUGGGAAACGUGCGGUAUUGUUAGCGAGACGUUACACCAUGGCCCUGUCUUGUCUGCAUGCAGAUGGGCAGCGGUAGAGCGUACAGGUUGCGACCCGAAAGAUGGUGAACUAUGCCUGAGCAGGACGAAGUCAGAGGAAACUCUGGUGGAAGUCCGUAUCGGUUCUGACGUGCAAAUCGAUCGAUAGACUUGGGU
rnacentral:rRNA from 1 species